rnacentral:rRNA from 1 species
UACGUAGGUGGCAAGCGUUGUCCGGAUUUAUUGGGCGUAAAGCGCGCGCAGGCGGCUAUGUAAGUCUGAUGUUAAAGCCCGAGGCUCAACCUCGGUUCGCAUUGGAAACUGUGUAGCUUGAGUGCAGAAGAGGAAAGCGGUAUUCCACGUGUAGCGGUGAAAUGCGUAGAGAUGUGGAGGAACACCAGUGGCGAAGGCGGGUCUCUGGGCCGUAACUGACGCUGAGGAGCGAAAGCGUGGGGAGCGAACAGG